CUUCCCUCCUGUGGCUGGUGGGUUUGUUCCCGGUGGUAGAAUAGGACCCACAAUUGGCAAAGGUGGCAAUGGCAGGUUGGGACCUACCACUGGAGGUACGGGUAGCUUUGGGACGGUCACCGGAGGAACGGGUAGCUUAGGGACAGUUACCGGGGGAACGGGUAGCUCUGGGACGGUGACCGGAGGAACGGGUAGCUUGGGAACGGUCACUGGAGGAACUGGUAGCUUAGGUACGGUCACCGGAGGAACCGGUAGCUUAGGUACAGUCACUGGAGGAACGGGUAGCUUAGGUACGGUCACCGGAGGAACCGGUAGCUUGGGUACAGUCACUGGAGGAACGGGUAGCUUAGGUACAGUCACUGGAGGAACCGGUAGCUUAGGGACGGUCACCGGAGGAACUGGUAGUUUGGGAAUGUGUACUGGGGGUUUAGGGGAGGGCUUUCCACCCUUCCUGGGGUUACAUGAACCGCAUGAGAGGGAAUGUUG
rnacentral:lncRNA from 1 species